UACGUAGGGUGCAAGCGUUAUCCGGAAUUACUGGGCGUAAAGCGUGCGCAGGCGGUGAUGUAAGACAGUUGUGAAAUCCCCGGGCUCAACCUGGGAACUGCAUCUGUGACUGCAUCGCUGGAGUACGGUAGAGGGGGAUGGAAUUCCGCGUGUAGCAGUGAAAUGCGUAGAUAUGCGGAGGAACACCGAUGGCGAAGGCAAUCCCCUGGACCUGUACUGACGCUCAUGCACGAAAGCGUGGGGAGCAAACAGG
rnacentral:rRNA from 1 species